UACAGAGGUCCCGAGCGUUGUUCGGAUUCAUUGGGCGUAAAGGGUGCGUAGGCGGCGGGGCCAGUCUGAUGUGAAAUCCCGGGGCUCAACCCCGGAAACUGCAUUGGAUACUGCCUUGCUAGAGUACUGGAGAGGGAACUGGAAUUUACGGUGUAGCAGUGAAAUGCGUAGAGAUCGUAAGGAAGGCCGGUGGCGAAGGCGAGUUCCUGGACAGUUACUGACGCUGAGGCACGAAGGCCAGGGGAGCAAACGGG
rnacentral:rRNA from 1 species